AUCAAAGUAGACGCCACCGGCGGCGGCGCCACCCGUGACGGUGGAAGAGGUGGACGCGAGCCGCGGAGCCGGCGGCGCGGGCGGGAGCGGCGGCGGGGGCGCGUUGAGCUCGGACAGCAUGCUCUCGACCCAGGACGACAGGUCGGAGGGGUUGUAGUGCACUGUGUCCGUGGCGAGGUGCGACACGAACCCGUCAUCGGCAGCAGCGCCGGCGCCGCCCAUCCCCAUGGCCAUCUCGAGCUGCUCCAGCUUCUGCGCGACGUCCGCCAUGUCCGACGAGCGCACCUUGUACCCGAGCGCGGCCAGCAGCUCGUCCACCUCCUCAUCCUGCUCCCCCGCGCCCGCCGCCGCCGCCAUCAUCUUGUCCUUGGAGGAGCCCAUGUCACCGCCGCUCCCGCCGGCGUCUUGGUACUCGCGCUUCAUGAUCUCGGGGCUACGCACCUAGCUAGCCAGCUAAUAAUUGCUUGCGCGCCUCGGUUUCGGUUCUGG
rnacentral:lncRNA from 1 species